GGAAGAGGAAGAAGAAGAAGAAGAAAGGAAGCA
rnacentral:sRNA from 1 species